rnacentral:rRNA from 1 species
CCGGCACGGGUGGAGUAACACGUAUGCAAUCCACCUGUAACAGGGGGAGUAACCCGGAGAAAUCCGGACUAAUACCCAUAAUAUGGGCGCUCCGCAUGGAGAGCCCAUUAAAGAGAGCAAUUUUGGUUACAGACGAGCAUGCGCUCCAUUAGCCAGUUGGCGGGGUAACGGCCCACCAAAGCGACGAUGGAUAGGGGUUCUGAGAGGAAGGUCCCCCACAUUGGAACUGAGACACGGUCCAA